UACGAAGGGGGCUAGCGUUGCUCGGAAUCACUGGGCGUAAAGCGCACGUAGGCGGCUUUCUAAGUCAGGGGUGAAAUCCUGGAGCUCAACUCCAGGACUGCCUUUGAUACUGGAGAGCUUGAGUCCGGGAGAGGUGAGUGGAACUCCGAGUGUAGAGGUGAAAUUCGUAGAUAUUCGGAAGAACACCAGUGGCGAAGGCGGCUCACUGGCCCGGUACUGACGCUGAGGUGCGAAAGCGUGGGGAGCAAACAGG
rnacentral:rRNA from 1 species